rnacentral:siRNA from 1 species
UGAAGGCUCUCCUCCAUUCGCUA